rnacentral:rRNA from 1 species
UACGUAGGGUGCGAGCGUUGUCCGGAAUUACUGGGCGUAAAGAGCUCGUAGGUGGUUUGUCGCGUUGUCCGUGAAAACUCACAGCUUAACUGUGGGCGUGCGGGCGAUACGGGCAGACUGGAGUACUGCAGGGGAGACUGGAAUUCCUGGUGUAGCGGUGGAAUGCGCAGAUAUCAGGAGGAACACCGGUGGCGAAGGCGGGUCUCUGGGCAGUAACUGACCGGCUGAGGAGCGAAGGCCAGGGGAGCAAACGGG